GACUCUCGGCAACGGAUAUCUCGGCUCUCGCAUCGAUGAAGAACGUAGCGAAAUGCGAUACCUGGUGUGAAUUGCAGAAUCCCGCGAACCAUCGAGUCUUUGAACGCAAGUUGCGCCCGAGGCCACCCGGCCGCCCCCGCGCCCCCCCCGGCCGGCGCUACGCCUGCCUGGGCGUCA
rnacentral:rRNA from 16 species